rnacentral:RNase_P_RNA from 1 species
CCAGACGGCUGGGCGGCCGCUGCUCUCAAUAUGAGGGUGGAGGAAAGUCCGGGCUCCACGGGAACACGGUGCCGGCUAACGGCCGGCGAGGGCGACCUCAGGGAAAGUGCCACAGAAAACAAACCGCCGGCUUUCCACUCGCGAGGGUGCCGCCGGCAAGGGUGAAACGGUGCGGUAAGAGCGCACCGCACCCCUGGCGACAGGGGUGGCAGGGUAAACCCCACCGGGAGCAAGACCGAAUAGGGGGGGCCGGCGGCGGUAAUCCAGUGCAAGCUGGAUCAUCGUGACGCAGGGGUGUUUCCGCCUCGUUCCCCGGGUUGGUCGCGUCAGGCGCGCGGUAACGCGCGUCGCAGAGGAAUGGUCGCCUCGUCUCCCUCGGGAAACGAACAGAACCCGGCUUACAGGCCGUCUGGCAUC